GGAACUGCUCCAGUUUAAACGUCUCGGGUGAAUGUCGCCCAGCAUCCCCCUUCCUGUUAAAUACCCCACCUGCGAGACACCACGCUGCGAAGAUGCCACCAUUCGCACGUGAGGCCCUCUCCCCCACAUGUGCUAUGGACGGAAGGAUCGCUGCCGCAAUGAACUCGUCAAAAAGGCCGUACCGCUGCUGUGAAGUUCGAUGAUCGCCCGUAGCUAGGAUCGUCAUGAUUUUUACCUUUUUGUACGUCAACUAUGGUACGUAAUCGUACGCGAGAAAUGCCAUUGGGAAAACUUGAACCGAGAUGGAAAAUCAUGUAUUCCUCGUACGCGGCUGAAUGAAUGACUGAUGCGGCACGCGAAAAACCAUGACGCCCUCGGCGCUCGCCCGAUUUAUUAUCGACUGCAAGUCGUUACAAUAAUUAAAAUCUACGACCCUCGGCCGGCGCGCACGGGCCAUUAAGUGCACAAUACGCAUAGUUCCAUGGGAUGCAAUUAAGAGGGUGCCGAUUUACAUGGACGCACGCGUUUUGCAUGUCACCGUGGGGCGAGAAAAAUGGACACACAAAAGCGAACUAAAGGAAGGACGGGGACACGCGCUCCCCGCCCCGUCUGUCCCGCGUCCACCCUUCGUUCGGUCCGUUUCUCCUGGACUUUUCGGAAAAAUCCCGGCCAAGGUCGCGACCUUUCUCCUCUCCGACCUUCCCACAAGGGGACCAGAUGUGAGACCGCUUCGUCCAGGCCCAACUAGCCGCGGUCCAACGACAAUGCCGCUAAAAAUUCCAUUUUCCCCAACCAAAAAUUCUCUCCUCGUCUCAUUCUCUCUGACUACCGGCACCGGUUUUUAUCCUCAUUUCCGUAUAGGUAUAUAUCCCCUCCUCCCUUUCUCUCGUUCUCAAUGGAUUCGUAAUGGCCGAUUCCUCUUCCAGUCUCCCCUAAACGUGUAUGUUAAUGCACGCGUGUGCGCAUACUAAUUCAGGCGAAUUUCACGUCGGAAAACCCGUAGAGACCCGUGCCCUGUUAAAUGACGCGGUUCUCGAAUUUCAGCUGUCCCAGGGAAAUUUUUAUGGCCGCUGAGACAAAGCCCUCGACCCGGGCCCGGCGCAACGAGAGCGCUGUCAUUUUUACUUCCGAUGCCCCAUAAAUCCAGAUCACGCGUCUCGUUCUGAUGAGCAUUCAUGUUUAUCGAAUCGCGUCUGGGUAUUGCCUCGUAUACCUUUUGUUCGUAACGGUGCUCGAUUGAUGCUCGCUUCGUUUCGCGAUCGAUAAGCUCUCUACCCCUCCCGAAUAUCUUCGAAUUUGCGCGUGGACUCGAACAAAUAGUAACGACCUCGUCGAUGCGAGCGGCGUUAUUAUUUCAUAAUCCAAGGUCAACAUUGCGUAGGCGUGCAUCAAGGGCGGAAACGUAACGUGCGCGUGUUUGUUCAUCGAAGGAACCCCACCGCACCGGUGCAAAGAACCGAACCGAGUUAAAAUUGGGACCGGCUGGCCACUGCGAAAGCAGCUGUCCUCUAAAAUGUUUAGAUCGAUUGCUCACUGAUCGCGGCUCGAAAAUAAUUGAAAAUUCGACUAAAAAUCCUGUUUUCACGUAUAUACAUUUCUAUUCAUUUGAUUAAAAAAUGUUAGGUAGAAAAUGGUAGAGGAAAUUGCCAUUACGAGGUCAAAGAGGAUUAUCGUGGGUACGAAAUUGUCUCUUGUACGUACGACCAAUAGAAAUAAAAGAGUCUGUGUCCUAGACACUUCCGAUUCGAUUCGUACAUGGCCGAUAACGAAAUUUUGAUUCUCAGUUUCUUUAGCUGCAAGGCACGAGGUUGAAAGGGCAUCUCGAAAAGGAACAUUACGUCUCCGACAUCGUUCAGGCGACAUCAGUUAUUUCUUGUAAACAACUCUAUAAUAAGUACGUUUCGUAGUAUACGUAUAUUAAUCAGAGAAACGUAUAGUCUUUUCUUUGAAUUGUAGUUUUAAGAAAAUUGUUAUCGUAAACUCGAGUACUCGAAUGGUCAGUUCGACGCUCUUCCACAAAAAAAACGUAGGAAGAGUUCGAUUGGCAUAUAAUUUGAUAUUCGCGGCUCACAAAACUCGCUAUAUUCGAUAUAUCUUUUUUUUUUUUUCUUUCAUCUUUAAUUCUAUAUGCGAUGCGUUGGCUGUGUAUACGAUUGUACUUUUUGUUACGGGUUAUACUGUGUCGACCCUGAGUUGGUUGGCUUUCACUGCUCGUUGAUAUCUAAAUACUGUAAAACCGUACGUUUAAUCAAUCAUGCUCGUGUCACGGUUAUUACGCUUGCCGCGCUCUCCGUUAUCAUUGUUCGUUCACCGUCGUUUCUAUCGCAUCCUAGCGCGUUCACUUAUUAAUAUCUCUCAAAAUCCUCUUCCCUAUGUUUCAACUUCACUUAUACAUAUAUAUAAUAUAUUCAUAUAUAAAAUAUUGACUAGCACGAUCGCGAAAAUGAAAACCAUCGAUGUAUCGAUACAAUAUAAUAUGUAUGCACGUAUCGACGACGCUCGAACGUUCAAGUAGUAUCGUAUCUCUUGACUCCUGUUUCGUAUGUCGCUCGUAUUUCGUGGACUUGAGCAAAAAGCAAAGUGGGAUGACGCGAAUGAUUAAAACGAAGAGAAUUGUUGCUCCAACGGUUAGACACUGUCUACUAUGAAGUCACAUUUAAAAUAGGAACUUUUUUUUGAUCACCCGUUCGUGUUAGUUAUACGAAUAUGCUAUGUACAAUAAAAACGUUCCUCGAUCGGAACGUCAUAACAACAUGGCCUUCGAACGCGGGAUCCUUUCCGUUAAAAUAGGAUCGGAGACAUCCCAUUAAUUUCGAAUUAAGCAAGACAGACGAAUACGGCAAUAAAAAUAUCGUUUUGGAGGAACGUGUCAACCUUUCACUUCGGCUGACUCACGAUGACUCGUAUUUAAAUAACGAAUAAAUGGGAAUCCCGACAAACCACGUAUAUGAAAAAUAUAUAUAAACUUUCGCUAGCUAUUUCCUUAUAAGUUACAUAGGAACUAAUAACGCGUGCUCAAAUCGCAGACGCAGGAACGAAGUUGUGA